rnacentral:rRNA from 1 species
GAUGAACGCUAGCUACAGGCUUAACACAUGCAAGUCGAGGGGAAACGAUAGAGAAAGCUUGCUUUUUCUAGGCGUCGACCGGCGCACGGGUGAGUAACGCGUAUCCAACCUGCCCAUCACUUGGGGAUAACCUUGCGAAAGUAAGACUAAUACCCAAUGACGUCUCUAGAAGACAUCUGAAAGAGAUUAAAGAUUUAUCGGUGAUGGAUGGGGAUGCGUCUGAUUAGCUUGUUGGCGGGGUAACGGCCCACCAAGGCGACGAUCAGUAGGGGUUCUGAGAGGAAGGUCCCCCACAUUGGAACUGAGACACGGUCCAAACUCCUACGGGAGGCAGCAGUGAGGAAUAUUGGUCAAUGGACGAGAGUCUGAACCAGCCAAGUAGCGUGAAGGAUGAAGGUCCUACGGAUUGUAAACUUCUUUUAUAAGGGAAUAAACCCUCCCACGUGUGGGAGCUUGUAUGUACCUUAUGAAUAAGCAUCGGCUAACUCCGUG